GACAUGGAACCCUUCUGCUGAGGGGACAGAUUCUAAUUCCCUCCAAAUUGAGUGUGAGUGCGAUUUUGAGGUGAAAUCAAUCAGAAUUCCAAAGUCAGUCAGUGGAAGGGGGGAUGAAUCUUUAAACAGCCAGUUUCCUUGUGUCUAAAUCCAGCCAAAUAUCACUAAGAACUCGUGCAUUUCUUUGGCUUUUGUCUCAUUUUUCUGAUUUAUCAUGGUUUGUAAUGAAUUUUCUGAUGUGAGCUUUGGUUUUGAGGCUGGCAUAUUGAGUUCAGGGCACCGGAUCAAUGGUCUUUUUCAAACAGGACACAGCUGUUGGCUUGUUGCAAUUCUGGCUUGCUGUCAUUGUUUUGCGUGCCUCAGCUGUUUUUGGUUUCUUUAGCGGCAAUUUCCUACAUGUUUUCUGGGUCUGAGUUGGUUUUGCCUUCUUCCUUUCCAAAUUUUCUAUUCUGACGUAAUACAAACAAGAGUUUGGACAGAGUAGCCAUUAUGAAAUAAAAAGCACAACAAAUAUGCGUUUGAAGCUUAUAUAUGUAGAGGUAACACGAGCAAGGUAAGUUUUUGUGUUUAUGAAAAUAAAAUUGAACACUCUGGCUGAGGUGACAGAUAUUAAUUGCCUCCAAAACCGAGUUUCACUGCGAUUUUUUUGUUAAUUCAUUCAGAAACCAAAGACACUCAGUUGGGAGGUGUGGAUGAAUCUGGAAACAGCCGUUUACAUGGCCAUAAUUCAAGCCCAAUAUCCCUAAGAACUCCUGCAUUUCUUUGGCUUUUUUCUCAUUUUUCUUAUUUAUCAUGGUUUGUAAUGAAUUUUCUGAUGUGAGCUUUGCUUUUGAGGCUGGCAUAUUGAGUUCAGGGCACAAGAGGAAGGUUCUCUUUCAAUCAGGGCACAGCUGUUGGCUUUCUCCAAUUCUGGCUUGCUGUAAUUGUUGUGGGUUCCUCAGCUGACUUUUGGUUUCUUGAGUGGCAAUUUCCUAAAUGUUUUCUGGGUCUGACACGGUUUUUCCUUCUUAAUCCCAAAUUUUGUAUUCUGACGCAAUACAAACAAGAGUUUGGACAGACUAGCAAUGAUGAAAUAAAAAAGAAAACAAAUAGGCAUUUGAAGCUUAGAAAUCUACAGGUAAGAAUACUAAGGUGAGUUUUUGAGUUUUGGAAAAUAAAAUGGAACACUUUGGCUGAGGUGACAGAUAUUAAUUGCCUCCAAACCGAGUUUCACUGCGAUUUUCAGGUUAAUUCAGUCAGAAACCACAGACAUUCAGCUGGGAGGUGUGGAUGAAUCUGGAAACAGCCGUUUACAUGGCAAUAAAUCAAGCCCAAUAUUACUAAGAACUCCUGCAUUUCUUUGGC